GUGGGGAAUUUUGGACAAUGGGCGCAAGCCUGAUCCAGCAAUGCCGCGUGCAGGAAGAAGGCCUUCGGGUUGUAAACUGCUUUUGUACGUAACGAAACGGUCCGGGUUAAUACCCUGGGCUAAUGACGGUACCGUAAGAAUAAGCACCGGCUAACUACGUGCCAGCAGCCGCGGUAAUACGUAGGGUGCGAGCGUUAAUCGGAAUUACUGGGCGUAAAGCGUGCGCAGGCGGUGCUGUAAGACAGGCGUGAAAUCACCGGGCUCAACCUGGGAAUUGCGCUUGUGACUGCAGUGCUGGAGUGCGGCAGAGGGGGAUGGAAUUCCGCGUGUAGCAGUGAAAUGCGUAGAUAUGCGGAGGAACACCGAUGGCGAAGGCAAUCCCCUGGGCCUGCACUGACGCUCAUGCACGAAAGCGUGGGGAGCAAACAGGAUUAGAUACCCGAGUAGUCC
rnacentral:rRNA from 1 species